UCCUGGUUUCCCAGGCAGUCCCAUCAGAGUGCUUUCUUACGAAAUAGCAACUGACAGCAGGGGUUGCGCUCGUUAUAGGACUUAACCCAACAUCUCACGACACGAGCUGACGACAGCCAUGCAGCACCUGUUUACAUGCUUAGGGUUUCCCCCAAGAAGCUAUAUCUCUAUAGCGAUCAUGUAUAUGUCAAACCUAGGUAAGGUUCCUCGCGUAGUGUCGAAUUAAACCACAUGUUCCACCGCUUGUGCGGACCCCCGUCAAUUCCUUUGAGUUUUAAUCUUGCGACCGUAGUCCCCAGGCGAAUCACUUAACGCGUUAGCUACGACACUAAUCCUGCAAAGCAAGACUAACGUCUAGUGAUCAUCGUUUACAGCGUGGACUAC
rnacentral:misc_RNA from 1 species